rnacentral:rRNA from 1 species
UCUUCCCUCUGGCGGCGUGCCUAAUACAUGCAAGUCGAGCGAACAGACGAGGAGCUUGCUCCUCUGACGUUAGCGGCGGACGGGUGAGUAACACGUGUAUAACCUACCUAUAAGACUGGGAUAACUUCGGGAAAUCGGAGCUAAUACCGUAUAAUAUAUUGAACCGCAUGGUUCAAUAGUGAAAGACGGUUUUGCUGUCACUUAUAGAUGGAUCCGCGCCGCAUUAGCUAGUUGGUAAGUUAACGGCUUACCAAGGCAACGAUGCGUAGCCGACCUGAGAGGGUGAUCGGCCACACUGGAACUGAGACGCGGUCCAGACUCCUACGGGAGGCAGCAGUAGCGAAUCUGCCGCAAUGGGCGAAAGCCUGACGGAGCAACGCCGAGUGAGUGAUGAAGGUCUUCGGAUCGUAAAACUCUGUUAUUAGGGAAGAACAAAUGUGUAAGUAACUAUGCACGUCUUGACGGUACCUAAUCAGAAAGCCACGGCUAACUACGUG